UUAUUAUUAUUAUUCAUAAAUUUGAGACUCUUCCCUAUACCACAUUCGCAGGUCAGGGUCCCAUCUAGCACUGCAUAGACUGUGGUUGCGAUGGUUGCACGCGCACGCAGCACCAGCGCGCCCAGUGUCGGCUUCAUUAACAAAUGACUCUUAUGAACCGAUUCUUUUUGAGUCAAAAACACAAAGCGCAGCCCAUUCACUAACAAAUUGUUUUUACAUUUAAAUACUGCUUCUCGGUUUAUUCAGAAGUCAUCUGAGAAAUCUAAUCCGGUCCAGAUAUGUCUGAGAUUCAUCCCGUAAUUGUUCGGUGAUCCGAUUCUCCGACCGCUCGCUCCACUUUCAUCAUGGAUAUAGAGGCCUUUCUGCCAUAUUGGACGAAACAAUAACAUGAAAUCAACAAGAAGAUGCCGAUCACGAAAACUAAUAGCAGAAUUAGAUUUCACUUCUUCCUGAUGCUCUGAUGCCUGUCUUCACUUGUAGACUGAUGGGAAUAUUCCAGCAUUUAUUGCUGAACUGCAGUGGGAGGAGCUUCACUGAAGGUGUGAGUGUUGUGGGAGGAGCUUCACUGAAGGUGUGAAUGUUGUGGGAGGAGCUUCACUGAAGGAGGAGCAGAUCUGCCAAAGUUUAUGGUGAGCCCACAUCCUACUGCCAUCUCAACACAGAUGUGUCAGUUCUGCAGCUGCGCUGUGCUUCACAAUCUUGCUCUUCUCAAUGGUGACAUCGUUGACCCAGAGGAUGAGGAAGACCAUGAUGAUGCCCCCUG